rnacentral:rRNA from 1 species
UCAAGCGAACAAGGGCGCAGGGCGAAUGCCUUGGCACUGGGAGCCGAUGAAAGACGUGAUAAGCUGCGAUAAGCUUCGGGGAGCUGCAAAUAAGCAUUGAUCCGGAGAUUUCUGAAUGAGGAAACUCACCUGGGUUCAUACUCAGGUACGUUGUACUGAAAUUCAAAAUAGGUACAUCGAGGGAACCGCCUGAACUGAAACAUCUAAGUAGGGCGAGGAAGAGACAUCAAACGAGAUUCCGUAAGUAGUGGCGAGCGAACGCGGAAGAGGGCAAACCGAGAGUAGAAAUACUUUCGGGGUACGGAGCGCAUUUAGGACUUAAGUUGUUAACCGAACGGCAUGGGAAGGCCGGUCAGAGAGUGUGAGAACCACGUAGGUGAAAACGGAGAGAGCUGCGCAGAUUCCAGAGUACGGCCAGACACGUGAAACCUGGUCGGAAGAUGGGGGGACCACCCUCCAACCCUAAAUACUACCCAGUGACCGAUAGCGUAUAGUACUGUGAAGGAAAGGUGAAAAGCACCCCGGGAGGGGAGUGAAAAAGAACCUGAAACCCUGUGCCUACAAGCACCUAGAGCGCGUCAAUGCGUGAUAGGGUACUUUUUGUAGAACGGUCCGGCGAGCGAUUGUAUGCAGCAAGGUUAAGGACUUAAGGUCUGGAGCCGAAGCGAAAGCGAGUUUGAAAAGGGCGUUAAGUUGCAUAUAAUGGGCCCGAAACCGGGUGACCUACCCAUGGUCAGGUUGAAGUGGAAGUAAAAUUCCAUGGAGGACCGAACCGACCUCCGUUGAAAAGGCGGCGGAUGAACUGUGGGUAGCGGAGAAAUUCCAAUCGAACCCGGAGAUAGCUGGUUCUCCCCGAAAUAGUUUUAGGACUAGCCUCAAGUUAGAUACCUGGAGGUAAAGCACUGAAUAGCCUAGCGGCCGAGAGGUUAGCGAAGCUUAUCAAACUCAGAAUGCCAGAGUAUUGAUGCUUGGGAGUCAGACAGUGUCAGAUAAAUGUCAUUGUCAAAAGGGAAACAGCCCAGAUCUACAGCUAAGGUCCCAAAGUCAGGUUAAGUGGAAAACGAUGUGAAGAUACGCAGACAACCAGGAUGUUGGCUCAGAAGCAGCCACUCAUUCAAAGAGUGCGUAAUAGCUCACUGGUCGAGCGUCUUUGCGCGGAGAAUUUAACGGGGCUAAACCUGACACCGAAGCUUAGGCAAUCCAGCAAUGGAUUGGGUAGGGGAGCGUUGUAUACGCGGAGAAACAGUAGCGUAAGCGGCUGUGGAGUGUAUAGAAGUGAGAAUGCCGGAAUGAGUAGCGCGAAUGCAGUGAGAAUCUGCAUGGCCGAAAGCCUCAGGUUUUUGGAGGAAGGUUCGUCCGCUCCAAGUUAGUCGGGAGCUAAGGUGAGGCCGGAAGGCGUAGCCGAUGCACAGACGGUAGAGAUUCCGUCACCACCAAAAGAGUUAAGCACAGGGACACAUUUGAAGUCUCAGAGCCGGGUGUUGGUUCCGGUAGAGAUCGAGGGAAAUUAGUACCGAAGUCUGAGAUGGAAGAUGGCGAGAAAAGCUGUGUGUAUUUCUGAGGUGCCCGUACCGCAAACCGACACAGGUAGGUAGGAAGAAGAUUCUAAGGCCAACGGGAGAAGGGUUGUUAAGGAACUCGGCAAAUUGACCCCGUAACUUCGGGAGAAGGGGUGCUCCAGAGAUGGAGCCGCAGAGAAUCGGCCCAAGCAACUGUUUACCAAAAACACAGGUUUGUGCUAAAUCGAAAGAUGACGUAUACGAGCUGACGCCUGCCCGGUGCUGGAAGGUUAAGAGGAGAUGUGCAAGCAUUGAAUCGAAGCCCCAGUGAACGGCGGCCGUAACUAUAACGGUCCUAAGGUAGCGAAAUUCCUUGUCAGGUAAG